rnacentral:rRNA from 1 species
UGAGGAAUAUUGGGCAAUGCCCGCAAGGGUGACCCAGCAACGCCGCGUGGAGGAUGAAUGUCGUAAGAUUGUAAACUCCUGUUAGAGGGGAAGAAUAGUACCGGUUGGACCGGUAUAUGACUGUACCCUCAGAGAAAGCCCCGGCUAACUACGUGCCAGCAGCCGCGGUAAUACGUAGGGGGCAAGCGUUGUCCGGAUUUACUGGGUGUAAAGGGCGCGCAGGCGGGAUAAAAAGUCAGUGGUGAAAUCCUACAGCUUAACUGUAGAACUGCCUUUGAUACUUUUAUUCUUGAGUUCGGGAGAGAGAGACGGAAUUCCAGGUGUAGUGGUGAAAUACGUAGAUAUCGGGAGGAACACCAGUGGCGAAGGCGGCCUUCUGGACCAGUACUGACGCUCAUGCACGAAAGCGUGGGGAGCAAACA